GUCGGAUGUUUCCUAGAGUUCCUCUGAGCACUUCAUUGGAUAUAACAUUUUUUCUAUCAAAAUUAAAUGUAUUCCACUGAAGUGUUUGGGGGAACUCCUGGACUCAUUCG
rnacentral:pre_miRNA from 1 species